rnacentral:rRNA from 1 species
AUGAGUGUCUUCCAAAACAUUGUAGCUCAACAAAUGCCUGCAACAGCUAGACUUCAAGGUGAAAUAGAUCAGUACUUGAAUGAUGGAUUAGUGCCUUACGUCGAGAAGUUCAACGCGUUGGAUUGGUGGAAAGUGGCUGGAACUAGGUAUCCAACCUUAAGGAAAGUUGCAAGGGACAUAUUUUCUAUUCCUGUUACAACGGUUGCUUCAGAAUCAGCCUUUUCUACAAGUGGCAGAAAGCUCAAUGACCAUAGAAGCCGAUUGACACCACAUAUGGUUGAGGUUUUAAUGUGCUCACAAGAUUGGCUUAGAAACAAGUUCAAAGGUGAGCAAAUAGUGUUUUCUAUU